GGAAAGGCAAAAGGAAGAGCUGGUGGGAGAGGGAUACCUGUGCAUUGUGCUGAGUGAUUUCUCAUAAUGUUACUGGCCACAAGGUGUCUAUCUCUUAAUAAGCAGGAUGUGUAGCUUCGAGAAUGUGUCUGCAGCCACCUCCAGCCCCAGGGAAUCAGAAAAGUUGUUUAAAAAUUCUGUAGGUGGCUUGAGGCUCUGUCUAGAGGCUUAGGGAGUGCGUGAUCUAUAAUACUCAUCUAAUGACUAAGCUACAGCAUCACAAGGCUCACAGAUGACUAAUAAUUAUUCUCAUUCUACAGUGCACAGUUUGGUUUGCAAAACAAAGCAAGUGAGGCCUCUGCCCUUUUGUCCUGUGACUCACUCCUGUAAAAUAUUCAGUGGCAAGGCUGAGAGAGCACAAGACAUGCGGGUCAGCACUCCUGCAUCUUCUGCCUUUCUUUCUCCCACAGUCCCAGGCUUCUUGGGGCUGCAAGUCCAUUUUUAAUGCUUGAGCCGACCGUGUUCUGUGUGGUGAUUAAGACCAGACUUUGGAUUUUAACAUGGAGGUUCCACCCCGGUGGAGAGAGUGAAAAAAAAGUUAGAGUUGCCAUGGAAACCAAUGGAUUUGAAGUGCUUAGUACACUGCAUCGGUACAGAUGGAGUUCAAGAAAUGAGUGAAUUGAGAUUCUCUUGGUGUGUUCAUCCUCCUGAAACAGGUUUUCUACAUCUUCAUGGAGGAAGGUGUUAGUUCUUAAGCACCAACCUCUGAAGAGUGAUCCCUAAACUUUGGCUGGUAGAUGAUCACUGAGCAUUUCUGACUCGAUGGAGCAAAGGAGCUGGGGUUCUUGAAAAUACCAGAUGCCUGGGCAGUGUUUGCAUGUAUUGGUUUGGCUGGCUUGUGACUACUCAGAUAACCAAGGGGUGAAUAUUACUGAGCAUAAUGUAGGUAGAAUUGAUGGCCUUGCAUGCUGACCUCAGAACACUGAUCUUUAGGAACUGUGAUGAAGGAAGCCCUAAACCCUGGAUGGGACAGGUUAUGGGCAACUUAAGCACAGUGAAGGCCAGAGGGCCAAUCCCCAAAUGUUGGGGACUAGAAAGUGUGAUGGGUUAUUUGUCAACAGGAGAGCGGAUAGGGGACCCCAGGGUAAUUAAUGACUGCUAUUGGGCUUCCUGGCACUCUGUCAUUGGGAAUCACAGGUAGUUUUUACUCGAUUUAGACAAAUGAAACGAUGCAGCAUUUCUUGGGAGCCAGUGUGGAAUAAAUUCUCACUGAGUACAUUGAUAAGCAACAAGUAUGGUCAGGCUUCAUCUGUAGUAUAUGACGAAUGAGAGUCGAAAUUGUUCUCAUUCCCUCUGGGUGAGAGGCAGAGUCUGAGACACACAAUUUAUUAAUUAUAGAGUGUGAAUCCUGGAGUCAAGGCAAGAGCAGAGUUGUUGGUUCCUUCAGACCAUCUUGGGCCCGGAAGGCAAGUUACUAAACCCUUCUGACGGUGUUUCUUUACCUGUAAAGUACAGAUAGGAGGAGAAUCUCUCACAGAGUGUUGUUGGUCAUAAGAGGUAAAUGAUAGAAUCAUAUCUGGCUUGCAUAAUCAAUCAAUUGGUAGCUGUUAUUACUAAUAGUAUUAUGAUUGCAUGGCAGCUGUUGAAGGAAGCUUUGGCUUCCCUAACAUAGUUGCUGAAGAUCAGUAGGGGGAGGUCAGUAUGCGGGGCCAUAAGCUUUCCCACAUUAUUCUCAGCCAUGUUCACCACAGAGCGAUCUGGGGUGCUUAAGGGCCAAUUAUAUGUUGGCUUAAAAACAUCUUUUGACAAUGGCUAUGCAAUUUCAUGGAGAUGCUCUGAACAUAAGGAGCUCUGCCAUGUUGGGAAACAGCCAAGGAAAAGUUAAGGAGAUAGGACAUUUGGGGAAAAUUUGAAGACAACUGUUUUUCUUUGGAGGUAGUAGAGAACAUAAAGGGGAGUUAAAAUUUUGGAAGAAUGGAAAUAUUGGAACUUCAUUUAUAAUCCUCUUUAGGGACCUAAAUACAUUUUAUUCUUUUAGAAAAAUAAAUAAUUUGUCAUAAAUUGUUCUGUUUAUUUUUUCCCUUUGGAGAUCCAAAGUACUGGCAGUGGAUAAGGACAGAAACCACUAAACAUUUAGAGCAGUGUUUUCUUUACUGUUUUCCUGUUUUCUUGAGAGGUUAAAACAAAGCAGAACAAAAAUCUUGUUUAGAAACAUCUCUUAGCACAUUUGGUUUUUGGGGGCCCUUAAUCCUGGAGCCCACACAGGAUCAUUUUAUACCUCCUUUCUGUUUUCUCUAUAGUUCAAUUCAAAAUAUUUUCUUUUGAUUAAAUCUAAUAGAAGCUAAUUUAGUUCAUUUCUUAUGAAUUGAGUGGAUGUGACCAGAGUCUUAGUCAUCAUGGGGACACAAAAGGAACAAGUGGCACAUCUUUGACCCUUGAUAGAUUUAUGGCCUACUUGGGUAGCACUGAGGCUCAGCCAGUGACUCGGCCAGCCACACAGAUGCAGGGGGAGGAAUCCCAAAUGUGGCAUUUUACCACUUCUCCUCUCUAUCUGAUACUCUUUGAUGUUUUCUGACAUUUUUUUCAAAGUGAUUAACAAUCAUCAAAGAAAACUGAGUAACAUAGAAAAAUAUGAAAACCUACUUUUAGGUGAAAGGAAGCAGGUUGCAAAUCUACACACACGUUAUUAGCCUCAUUGUGUAUAUGUGUGUAUGCAGUAAGAUAGGCAAUGUGACUUGUAUCAUCUCAGGUUUGACUUUAAUCCUCACACUAAACAAUAAGUGGUCAAAUAUUCUCAGUUUCUGAAAUGAUGUGCUAAGAUGUCAAUUAAGCCCUUAACACAGGAAAUAUCACAGAGCUCUUUCAACAUUAGCUUGCUCCCCACCUCUACAAAAGGGAUGCUAAGAAUUGUUAGGAGGUUGAAAUACAUGGGAAAGUGCUUUGGAGAGAAUUAUUGGAGUCAAAUACUUCUUCUUUUUUUUUUUUUUUUUACUAUACACAAUAUGCACUUGUCAGCCAUUAUCAUAAUGCUUUGUAACAAACAAUAACACAGUCAUAUUAGGUUGUGACAAUAGACAUUUAUUUUUAUGGAUUUUCAGGUCGACUGCAAUUUAGAUGAUCUCACCUGGGCACUUCUGGACAGUUCUACUGCACACUGAUUUCAUCAGGCUUAUUUCUAAAUGCAGGUUGACUUCAGGUCUAUUCCAUGUGUCUCAUCACUCUAGAGCAAGAACAUGGUUUUACAGUAAUAGCAGCAAUACAGAAAUUAGCUAAAAUAUGUAAUGCCUCUUAAAUUGUGAAAUAGAAUUGGCACAAUUGUGCUUCUUCUGUAAUUGAUAGGCCAAAAUAAGUCAUUAGGCCAAGCCCAACAUCACCUGAUGUGGAGAAAUAAACUCUAUCUUAGGUGAAGGAUAUAUUUAUGAAAACAAUUUUACAGAGAAAAGUAACAGUAACGAUAUAUUUCUCUUGUAAUUUAGGUAAUAUAAGCACUAGUACUUGAUCUGACAUUAACACUUUUAAUAGAGGACUGCAUUGGGAAGACACAAUAGUUGUAGAAUUGGGAUCUAAUAUUUACAUGUGUUUCUGGUAAGCUAGAAAUGGAGUCUGUGGAAGGAAGCUACUUGUGGGCUACCUUGUCAAAACUUUCAGAGAAGAGGACUUCCUGGAGAGGUGGUGACCAGAGGAGAUGAUAAGGCCUAAGUGGAGAGAAAGUCAGUGGUGAACAAUAGUCACACAGGGCCAGCUUUGGGGGGCUCUGAAGUACCAGUUAUUGUUUCUUGUUUCUCUAUAUCAAGUAGGGUUCAAUCAGAGAAAUAGAACUGCCACAAGUGAUGUAGAAUGAGGGUUCAGAUCUUGCACCACUCUGGGAGCUGGUGGAAAGGCCAUGCAAGGCUGGUUUGGCUCUGAGGUCACCACAGACCUGGUGGGGCAGCACUUGAGAGGACAGAUGAACAGGAAGUAAGAAGAGCAGGGCAAAGUGGAACCUACAAUUUUUGGACUGGAAGAUGUACCAGAUCCCCCAACCACUGUCUGUCUUCUACCAGGAUUCGUGGUACAAUGGCCUGGUGUCCAUCACCACAGAGCUGACCAUGCACCUGCCCUCCAGAGAGGGCUGGAGGAGAGGUGGCCCAGUGCUGCUGUGAGCCAACAAACCAGCUGGAAGUUCAGUGACUGUGAGCAGGAGCUGUCACGGUGCCUGGCACCCCACACCAAUCAUGAAGAACAAAGAAACCAAAAUGAGGAGGUCAUUCAGCCUCCCUUGGACACUGUCCACCCCAUCCUUGUCUGAGCCCUCUGGGGGAGGUGGAUACCCACCUGCAAGAGAAGAUGGCCUGCUCUGAGUGCUGCUGUAGGAACUUGAUGCUUUUGUAAUAAUGUGGAAAGAGAAUUCUCAUACUUUGUGGUCCAGAAUCAACCUCCUUCCAGACAAACAACGGGAAUUAUACAAAGACUUAUUAGUGCUCAUGUGAGCAAACUAAUCACACCAUGCACUGUGUCAAAUUCAACUGACCAGAAAAGAAGUGGGAUUUUGUCAUCCUUUGCACUCACUCUAACAAAGCCUGGGUUAUUCUUGUGGGAGCUGAUGAGGAUUAUACAAGAGUGCAAGCUCAAUAACUUGGCUCUCGCAUUAUCCCAUUCCUUGUCACUAGGGAAAAGUAGUCCAAGACUUUGUGGAAACUUGAAUCUUUCUUUUCUACUGUCUGAUGAAAGGAAGUAAGGAAAAAGUUACAAUAGUUUUCUUUAAGAAAGUGGCAAUAUGACUUCAUCUUAUUCCUCACCUUGCAUUCACUCACCAGUUCAGACUAUAUAAAAUGUGUGCCAUUUGCCAGGCCUGUGCUAGGCAACUUUGGGAAGCCAAAAAUGGUGGUGGCAUCAUUUUCAUCAGGAGCAUGUUGUAGGAACAAGAAUGCAUUCUGAGAGCUGGGACUCUGUCUGUCUUAUUCAACAGUGUAUCUCUGUGACCAACAAGAGAAAGCUGGUACUUUGUAGAAGUUUGACAGGCAUUUGUCUUGUGCAGACAUCUGAUACAAUAAACAAACCUGACCUUGAGUGUGUGUAUGUCUGUGGCUGUAUUCCACAAAACAAAGUAAUUAAAAAUUUUAUUAAAACAUGGGGCCCCAUUUCUCUGUUCUCUGCUGGACUGGCAGAAAUGACUAUUCUUAUUCUUUCAUCUCUUGUCUGUUUUUUUCUCCUUCGAUGUCACAGCAGAAACCGCAGUGUGCUAUAAACUUACCUCCAUAAUAGAAUGUAGAUGCAUAAAUCAAAACAGCUCCUAACGGGUUGUCUGCAAUAAUAAAUGCUACGGAGGCAACCCGACUGGCAGUGUAAGAGAGAUUAUACAAACCGCUGCCUGGAGAAAACACAGCAUCGUGAAUAAACUCAGCCUUGAAUUAUUUAUAUAUUUUAGCCAUUAUUUUCUCUCCUCAGUCCUGCAAGGCCUGAGAAUGAUUUUCACUGAGAGUCGAGAGUGCCUGGAUUUGACUAUAGAAUACAAAGCCUCACAGUUAGCCUUUGGCCCAGUUUGGGGUGAGAAGGGGUCUGUUCCAUGGGCAGCAGGAGGGGGGCAGUGAAGUGCAGGG
rnacentral:lncRNA from 1 species